rnacentral:RNase_P_RNA from 2 species
UCCUCUUCAACGCUGCGUUUCUAUGCUACGAACGGAGAGACUCGCGCAAGCGUGUCUUUCACACCUUUUCCUUCGGGAAAACACUUUCUACCAGGCAUAUGAGAAAUUCGGAGAAAUCGCUUCACUUUCAGCCUACAAUCAUCAGGUCCACCUGGUGUUUGGCUCUGCCGGCAACGGUCUGCGCGUGAUCCUCGCGUCUGUAAUUGGCAUCAGAAAAGCAGGGCGCUGAGCUCCUCUGGUCGCUUGCGAUCGGGGAUAGUUUCAGCGUUUCCUCUGGGAGGGCCAUUACGAAGCUUGUGAAUGAAAUCACUUGAGUGCAAUACGCAGCGUGCAUGCCCGUUACUCCCCUUUCGAGAGGAGGAUGGACUGCACAAUUCGAUUCCGAUUACUCUGUUGAGGA